rnacentral:lncRNA from 1 species
UCUGCCAUUGUGCCAAGGUAAACAGAAGAAUGUGGUCCCAGGCAUCUGGGGGACAAAUCUUGUAGUUGCCCGUUAGCAAGCCCUUCCCACUCUUCUUUGUAGUAGAUUUAGCUGCAACCUGGAGAGCUAAUCUGAGCAUUCAUGAGAAAAACAAACAAGCAGAAGAGCCUUCUGGAGCUAUGCAAGAUAGAAGCAGAUUGUGUCCCGCAGCUGUGACAGCGGCUCCUGGGAUAGAAGCAGAUUGUGUCCCGCAGCUGUGACAGCAGCUCCUGGGAGCCCACUGAGGCUGGGGAAGAGCGAUGGCUGAGUGGCUUGAGCUUGGGCACAAAGCCACCCACCGGGAAGGCAGAGCCCCCAGGCUGAGGGCUGCAGCAGGGCGUCCCAAGUUGUUCUGCUACAUCCCACACUGAGAGCCAUUUCUCUGCUACAUCAACGCUUCUGCAGCCAAGUGCACGUUGUGAGGCUCGUCUUGCUGGCUUCCUAAUGGCCCCAUCAGUGGCUGGCCUGAAGAGAGAAGGACUUACUCACAUUGGACGGAUUUCUGCCUUCAUUCCUGUCCAGCUGCUGCGUAUGCUGACCUUCUGUAUGUAACCAAGUACCUCAGCCGGGAUGGACCCACGGACAGCAUCUUAUCAUCUCCCUGGGGAGGCUGAGCAAAGCCAAGAUGAGGGCACCAAUAGGCUGGUUG